AUACUUAACUGGAAGGGGACAUACCAUGAACACAAAGGUGCUUUUUUUGAGGGUUAGGGCUUAUCCAUUGCACUCUGGAUGUGCUGACCCCUGUGAUUUCCCUAAAUGUGGGAAACUCGACUGCAUAAUCGGUGGUAGUGGAGGACUGUGCCCAUGCUCUCCUCUG
ensembl:snRNA U1 U1 spliceosomal RNA